rnacentral:misc_RNA from 1 species
UAGUAAGUGUUUUACGGCACUUUUUAAAUCCAUAUCCACCUUGUGUGCAAUGUCAGUCGAUCUUCUUCAUGGAGAUCGACCAAACAUCAACCUUUAUCUUUUAACUCUUUGUCUGAAAAAUAUUAUGAAUAAACAAUUCAAAAUA